CGUCGCGGCGCGCGCGGCGGCUGCAGGGGGACGUGAGGCCCGUGAGAGAGACCCACUGGUGGCAGAACAUCCUGACUGACACGUACCAGAGUGCAACUAAGAGGGAGACACCAGCAAUUAACGAGCCUCUGGAAGGAGUGACUGAUUGAGAGACGCUCCAGACAUCCAGAUUAGCAAGACGUACUGGAAUAGGAGACUGGAAGUGAGAAGAAGAAUGACAAAUCAAUCUUGGGACAAAUCCUUCAGGCAAUCCCAGGCUUCAAGCAAUCAGCAGACCUGUUCAUGUGACUUGAAAAACUGUGAAUUAACACUGCUCUGCUCUGUCAAUGACUUCAACUGAAAUGACGUCUGUCCUGGGACAAAGGAAAGCAAAUGUCUAACAUCUUUUAAAAAUGCACAUGAAAAGAAAAAAAAACUAAAAAGAGAGCAAAAGUUCCUCGUUAAGUUCCCCAUAACUACUCAGAUGAACUGUGUAUUGACUUGGGCCUGUUGGUGGCCAUGGCGAGGGAGACAUGAGUAAGGAAUGUGUACUAUACAUUCACGUUCAGAUAAAUCCUUCCCGCUUUCAUUGGAAGGAGAUUCCCCCUGCACAGGCUGUGGAGGAGCGUGUCGCUGUGCCCGCUAGGGGACAGAGCUCUGCCGCGUACAUCCGUCUCCUCGGGAGCGGGACCAGCUCCGACACCUGCAGCUCCAGCCCGGGACUCUCUGGGAUAAGCCUUUCAGGGAAUUCUUAGAGUAAUCAGAUCCUUGCGAAAUACAUUCUCUGCUCAUUUAGCCCUCUCUGGAGAAUAUAUCUGUGAAAUGACUCGUGCUGCGAAACUUCUGACACUACCAGAACCAUUGGCUUGAAGCCGCGUUAUUUGCUGGAUUCCACCUCGCUGGUCAGGACUCAGAUCGAGCCCAGCUUGUCUCUGCUGGCACAGAGUUGUAUCAUGAGCAGUGUUCCCACUGCUAGAGCUACAACUGUAGCAGCAAUGGCAAGAAAACUGAGGAAAUAUAGGCAAAAUUGUAUUUUUCACUCCCCUAAGGGGCAAGGAGAAAAGCAUUGUGUUUUGGUUUUUGUUUAAAAAAGAUGCAAGGUUGCUUCCUGUUUCUGAUCUUCCCUCAUGUUCUCAUGUUAAGCAGCAGUUUUACAAGGUCCAUUGUCAUAGCUCUGCAAGUUUUUCUGCACAGAAGCACUUAAAAUAGUUUAUCUUAGUAACUUUUAAAGUAAAUUAAAUGAGUUUGUUUUAAACUCCUUACCCUUCAGCAGGAGUGGCAAUUCCUAAAAUAGCUUUUACUGGCAUCUAGUUUAUUUAACUUUGCAUUAGCACCAUUUAAUCAAGCCUUAAAUUAGGUUUUGAAUGAACUUAGUUAAACUAGUUCAAGCUAGUUUGAUUCUCAAUCAUUCAGUAACUGAAGAGUUUAUUACAUAUUAAGAUAAAUAAAAUAAGAGAGUUUAUACAGGGAUUUUCUACUGAUCAAAUAAAGCAGGUUAAAGGCAAAUCUACAGUUAAACCACAGUUAAACUGUGGCUUUUCAAAACCUUGAGGCUUUUUUUCCCCUCUUGUACAAUGAAACUGUAAGUUGAAGAAAAAACCAAACUAUUUAUUUUAUAUAUCAAAGUCAUUCAAGCAUAAAUCUCAAAUUAAGGAAAUAACAGUAACUAGUACCUCCUCAUCUUCUUCUUUGUAACUUCCCUCCUCUUUUCCACAUCUGACGAUCAUCAGUUGCUUCAAGGAGAACUUCAGAAGUUAAUUAUUUUAAAAUUCUGCAAGGUAUUGUACUUUGCUGGUGAACAAUACUUCUCAUCUGUAACUUUUUGUAAGCACAGUUAAGCACACCUUUAUUGCCAUUUCAUUGCCAUACUUCAUCCAAAUCACCUUGGCGUUCCCAUAUGCCUCAGAGAUGUUUCCAUAUAACAAUAGUAUGUGUCUCCAGGGCAACAAAACUUUGCAGGCAGUAUGGGAGACACUCAUCCUUGGUCAAGAACUGUCUUCAUGAAACACAGUCAUGCUGUAGCUCUCACAAACAGCCAGAGUUGAUUGUUGCGGGUGGAUAAACUCCAUUAUUUGUUCCUGCCUGUAUUUAUCUCCUAAAGUCUGUGUAGGGCCUGGAUGUAUAUAUAUGUAUAGCUGCUAUUUACCAGCUCACAGAAUGACAUAUAAUAGUCAAGGAGAGAGAAAUGAAAGAACAUUACAGAGAUCUGACAUUGUCAAGGUGAAGUUAGCCUGUCCAAAAGUCAUUAUUCAAUAGAGAAUUUCAGAGGAGAAGACAUUGCAA